AUGAUUUAAAACAAACACAGAAUUCACAGAAAUGUCAUCUCCAUGUGUCAUUAUUAAAGUAGAUAUGACAAUUUUAGAAAGGUAAUGAGAACUUGCAGGAAGUGGGGUGGAUGGGUGGACACUGAAGAUAGUUGUUAGAGAUCUCCAUAGCUAUAAUGAAUGUCGGUCACUAAUAUAUCCCCUGAGAUUGAGGCAGAAGAGUCAGUUGUGAAAGUGACAGGAGACGGCAAUUUUAACAAAGUUGAUGAUCUUUGAAUUCAAUAUGAUGUGUUCAAUUGGGCUGCCUCUCCUCACUUCCAGCGUUUUCCUCCCCCUGCCACCACAAUCAGCCUGAAGAAGGGUCCCGACCUGAAACAUCACCUAUUUGCGUUCUCCAGAGAUGUUACCUGAUCGAAUUAGUUACUCCAGCACUUUGUGUCCUCUUUUGUAAACCAGCAUCUGCAGCGAUGGGAUAAUUGAACCAUUUCAUUGCUGCAAGAUUACCAGUGGAGGGAUGAGCCCAACUAUGUUCCUGGCACAGCUCUCUGCAGCAUAGGAAUUCUAGAGGAUCAAUGUAGCAAUGAGCAGUUCAAUGAAUUGAAAGCAAUUGAUUGCUGUGAUGAUGGAACAAAACUUAUGCAACCAUCUGAAUUUCAGAAGUUGCAACACGUGAAUCUCGUAGAUACAA